CGGGGGAGGGGUACGUCGAGCAGCCGACCCUGGCCCAACCCUCCACAGCCAAGGUGCUGGAGCUGGCCCAAGAGAUACUGCAGAUGCCUGUAAGAGCAGAGGACUGGGCAGCACCCCAGUUGGGGAAGAUAGCAGGGUUGUUUGUCUUUUUGUAUGGCUCCUGGCAUCUGCACAAUUGGCUAGGCUGGCGCGGCCAUGGAAUGGGCGGAGCCAGCGGCGCGGCUGGCUCAAUGCCCGCCCAGUUGCAGCGGGGACUGGCUUCAGACCCAGCGUAAUUCAAAGCGGUCGACCCGUCCUGUGGGCGUGGCGUGGAGUAGAGCUCCUGCGUGGCUAUUCUUCUCGCCGCGCAGGGCUCCGGACCAACGCCCGCACUUUCUGCUCACCUUUGCCCUCUAUGCUGAGCUCCUAGAGGUCCCAGCUAUGCCAUCCCGGGCUUGCUGGGAUCCGCUGUCUUCCAAUUGCUCUUCAGGACCUGGCUCCUGGAGGGCGACACCACCCCCCCAACCUAGAAAUUCCACUUUGACCUGUAAUGAAUCCUCCUCCAACGUUCCCAGCGUCGUCUUGGACCCUCUUUUAUUGCAAAAACUACAAAUGAAAUUGAUUAAGAAGGUUUGGGGCAGGAUGCUGACACAAUAUGAUGUUCAUCUGAGUCCAGCUUUUGAAGAUAAAAAUCAAAACUUAGCCAUUUCUUUGAUCCUAAUGAGGAUUUGACAUGGACCAAUGAAUCUGGAACCAUCUUCAGCCUGUGAUCAGUCAUAAUCCGGAAGAAGACAAGCAGACCACCCAUCACUCUGUGGAGAGAGAGGUGCCCUCACCUACCACCUGCAUCCUUUGCUCCACUGAAGGUACUGUGGAACCCAUGAGGGGGAGCUAAAACUCAGGCUAGGUAACACCAUUUUAACAAUACCCAGAGGACAAUCAGUCCCUUACCGCUGGCCACAGUUGACCUCUGACUUUAAGCCCUAUGCUAUUACUGUGCUCCUUCCUUACCUGAGAAGUUUCUACCCUUACCAGUGUUGAUUGUAUGUCAUUCACCCAAGCCCUGGUAAUCUGCACACUUCUGUAGACAGGGUCUAUCUGGAAACAACAUGCCACAGACACACCAUAGUGAGAGACACCACACAGGUGAGACUGGGGGCAAUAGGAACCAUGCUGUUGGCUAUUCAGAUUAGUCAAUUAUACUAUCAUGACCAAGGACAUCAACACGGAGGUUAGCAUUCUUUUUCCUAUCACUACCUACUGUUACAAGGAGUACCCCUUCUGGCUAAGCUGGACUCUUACUGCUAAUGACUCAUAGAUGCUUUCUAAACCCUGGAGGCCUACUGUUACUUCAGAUCGGUAAGACCCACUGUUAACAAUUAGUGCCAUCAAACAAAUAGAGUAAUGGGCCAGUACUUAUCAAGUCUCACUUAAGGACUGCCCAGAAAUAAUAUGCAUCCAGUAUUGAAACCAGGAUGCUUGUUAUUGUUAGAGUUAGAUUAAAAAUACUGUCAUCCAGAGCCAAUACCAACAAACUGUAUGUUUACAAAGAUAAAAUUAUAGAUCUUAACUAACCCUUGGUAUAAUGACAUAUGUAAACCCUGCCAAAAAUUUUUGCUGUCAUAAUUUUUUAUCUCUUUUCCUAUUAAUUACAAUGCCCUCUCCCUCUCUCUCUUGCUCUCUCCAGUAUAAGCCUCUCUUAUUGAGGCAGAAAAAUAUUGCACUAACCAGGUGGCCAGGUUCACUUUACCAUGGGUUUCCUCUCUGGUUGCUAAUCAGUAUAGACAAAGAAGGAAAGGCAUACAACAUAAAAUUAACCAGGACAAGGCCUGCCUAAAAUGUCAGGGGCUACAACCAGCUUGGGAGUUCUUUCCUAACCUAACCUCACCAUACCAACAUCAAGAUUUGCAUUACACUCAGAGAAAGCAGGUUCUUAGAAUUAACAGGCUAACUACCUGAAGUAAACAAUCAUAGCUUUGGGUUGUUUUUUUUGUUUGUUUGUUUCUUUGUUUGUUUUGAAGAACAGCAAAAGCAGUUCUUCUGAAAAACAUAUUUGAUACCUUGUAGAAAUCUAAUCACUCUCUACAUGGCAAUUUCUCCAUUCAAAUUGACAGCUACCUGUUUACAACCAUUACAAAAUUUGCCAGGCCUACCAGGACCAUCAUUGGUAAGAACUUGGGGAAAUAUUUAAGGGAGACUGCCACCCAAUGUUACUCUUGUACGGGAUCUUUUAUUUUUUUUUAAAGAUUUUAUUUAUUUAUUUGACAGAAAUCUCAAGCAGGCAGAGAGGGAGGAAGGGAAGCAGGCUCCCCGCUGAGCAGGCUCAAUGUGG
rnacentral:lncRNA from 1 species